rnacentral:lncRNA from 1 species
GUACCAAACUUGAACUUACCUAGUGGAGACUGAUGCACCAGUCCGCUUUGGAUGGAUUUGUACCGGACUUGAACUUAUCCAUCACAGUGGUGACUGAUAUAGGAUGGAUUCUGUAACUCUUUUGGUCUUUGAUAUUGGAGACAUUUUGAAAGAACGACACCAAGCCGCAUGACAGAAAGUCAGAGACAAACUUUCUUUGAUGAAGUCAGAAAGUCCAACAUCGAUGCCUUUAAGCAGAUACUUUCCUGUCCUUCAGUGAUGACCUUUGUUCGUUUAACUUGCCAAGUUGUUGCUUCAAAGUUAUACAGAGAAAGAAAAUGAAGAUAUGUUAAUAUAAAUAUGUUCAGGUUAAGAUAUCCCAAAUAAAUAUAUUGUCGCAGACAUGUACUAUCAAAAAAUAGGGGAAAAAAAUCUCCAAUUAGUAUGCAUUUACUGACGAUCCUGAGAUGCCCUUCAUUGUGCAAUAAUAUCAGACCACCUACUAUCAGACCACCUACAUCAGUUGAGGCCAGUGAUGAAGUAUCUCUGUAAUGCUUGAAGUUAGUGUUGAUUGUGAACGCUCCUUUUCUCUUCUUAUACGUUGAGCUUCUUGACGCGGAGAUAAUUCUGCCCUAUUAUUUUGAAGAAUUAGAAUAUUGCAUAUAAUGAAAAAGUAUGUUGCACAGGAUUAAUAGUAACGAUGAUAUUAAAUCUUGAUGAUUUUGAGAUUAAUGAAAUUAAUAAUAUCAAUAGAAUAAAUUAUAAUUGAAUAGGUAAACUUUACCUUUGUUGGACUAUUGAAUUUAGUAAUGAUGGUGCCCGUUCCUUUUCUUUGCUUAUACGCUGGUCUUCCUUUGAAUUACUUUUCUCUUCACCACUAUUUGAUUGCUUCAUUUCCAAUGAUUUCUUUGAUCUUCAAACAGACAACAACAUGAUAUUAGAACUUAGCUUUGUAGAUAAAAACUCAGACAGGGUCAAAACCCACAUAUAUAUAAUAAUUAGUAUUCGUUUGUAAAGACAAAUUCUCAAGCAUGGAAAAAGGUUCUUUGGACCUAAUGUCUUUAUGAUAUAAAAAAACAAAAUAAUAAAUUUUUACUCGAUAGGGAAAGAUUACUUUGGUUCAAUAUUUGAAUUUAGAACAGAUUGUCACCGUUCCCUUUUUCUUCUAAGACGUUGACCUUCUUGACGGGGAGAUAAUUCCACAAUGUCAUUUGGCAAAAUUUGUUGACUGCAUACAAAGGGAAAACAUGUUACAUAGAAAAUGAGUUAACAAUGAAAUUAAAUAUCUAUGAUCUUAAGAUUCAUCAAUUUAUUAACUUAUCUAGAUCAAAUUUUAAGUGAAAUAGUAAAAUUUACAUUGGUUCAACUAUUGAAUUUAAUACUGAUUGUGCUCGCUCCAUUUCUUUUCUGAUACAUUGGUCUUCGUUCGAAUUACUUUUCUUUUCAACUCCAUCUGACUGUUUCAUUUCCAACGACUUCU